GACGAACCGUGCGAACGUUGUUCGGAAUCACUGGGCUUAAAGGGCGCGUAGGCGGGCUGUCAAGUCCGGGGUGAAAUCUUUCGGCUCAACCGGAAAAGUGCCUUGGAUACUGAUGGUCUGGAGGGAGGUAGGGGUAUGUGGAACUUCCGGUGGAGCGGUGAAAUGCGUUGAUAUCGGAAGGAACGCCGGUGGCGAAGCGACGUACUGGACCUCUUCUGACGCUGAGGCGCGAAAGCUAGGGGAGCGAACGGG
rnacentral:rRNA from 1 species